rnacentral:lncRNA from 1 species
UGAUCGUGAACGAGCUAAGACUGGCUGCCGCCACUAGGGCCCGUCUCGACUGGCGCUCAUGAACCAGUAGUCCCAGCCGGCACGCGUUUCACCCUGCCAAAAUCGGACAACGCCAAAGCACUAUUCCUCGUCUGCAAAGCGCCUUGACACCUCGGCUGAAACACCGGUGGCAUAGAAGUCCCGUACGACGGAUUUGCGGCAGCAUUCUACUACAAGCGUAAGCAGCCAACGGUAGCUCAUAGUCUUCACAAAGACGUUAUGUGAUGCGGUGUGAGGGAUGCGGGUAGCUUUGGCAGAGGUCUGACUAGUUUUUUAGUUACUGGGACAUACUUAUUUGUGUUAUUAUACGUGUUUAUUUGUCUGGUUGUACUCAUUGAAGGCUGUGCUUGUGUCACAC